UGCGAAACGACGUAGGCCUCUACACCAAUGAAUGAAAAGUGAAAUGGCGCUGCUGCAGCUGCACCCUUGAUGCUGCUGCAGCCUCUUCUACUUGCCUAUCUUCCUUGAUUACCGCCACCGACUGAAUGGAGAACACCUGGUUUCAGAAGCCGUGUUGGGGCAGCAGGUUGAUGGUAGUGGAUGCCAACAGACUCAAUAAGCUGAUACAGAAAGCAGGUGAUGUUGUGGGAAUGGGACUCCCUGACAGCAGUGUCAGAAUGGAGGAUGCCAUCUAAGUCACACGCUAUCUCCAACCCACUCCACGAUGGUCCUGUUAGACACAGGAGUCCUUUCAGGAAUAGACUGAUUCCACCAUGAUGCUCCUCAGGACGCCAAAGGAGGUCAUUCCUGCCCGUGGCCAUCAGACUUUACAACUCCUCCCUCGCAGUGUCAGACAGUCUGAGUCAGUAGACUGUGAGACUUGUAGCUGCUACACUGUUUUGCACACAUUCUUUUAUAUUUAUUUUAGGUUUAUUUUACACUCUAUAUAGAUUUCCAGUCUUGGUUGAAGCAACUGUAACAAAGUACAAACCUGUGUUGUGGCUACAAGUGAAUGUUUUUCAGGAAGGACAAUGAAAGAUAACUAAAUCUGCUUCAUUUUCAAAUGACAUUAAAAUCUUUAUUUCGCAUAUGACAGCCUCUUCAUAUCGUAAGAGCAUAUUGUGUUGUUAUAUACAGUACAUGAAUUUUUUAAAACAGUAACAAUAAAAUCUUCUUUAAAAAAACAAAUAGCGAGGGGCAUUUAUGUCUUUCAAGUAUCUCUCAAGGAAAGGUGAGUGUUUCUUACAGUUUCCUUUCCAUAAAUACCAUAAAUAAUAUUACACACAAAUGUAGUGGAAUUUACAUUUUAGUCAAACAAGCAGAAGUACAAUUUAAUUGCAUUUAGUUUCUAUGGCACCUUACGGAAUCAAAUGUACUUUUAUCUAUGGGUAAGCAGAAUUAAUGAUAAAGGACACAGAGAAGGGGAUAUUUAAGUCACCGGCUGAAGCUGUGUUUGGCACCUAUGGAUAACUGACCGCUCAUAUUCAGAUAACUGAACAGGAUUUCUCUCAGCACAUAAUGUAGCUGUGCUAGCACAUUCACGAUCUUCACAAUACGUUUAAAUGCAGCUGUCAGCAUUACAUGGUCUUGGAUAAGUAUAUACUUUUUUUUUUUUUUACUACUUUUGCAACAUCCAAG